rnacentral:pre_miRNA from 1 species
AGGCCUCACUGUUCUCUAUGGCUUUCUAUUCCUAUGUGAUUCUGUUGCUCACUCAUAUAGGGAUUGGAGCCGUGGCGCACGGUGAGGAUA